GUUUCACCUUUAGUAAGAAAGGGAGCAAAAUAUGAAGGAAAUAUCAUGGCAUUUAUAGGUUAACAGAAUUAGGAUUUUGCUUUUUAGGUUGCUUUUUUUUUUUUUUUUUUUUUUUUUUUGAUUCUUUCUGUUGCUUGAGUCAGUGGCAUUUGGGGCUCAACAUAUGCUGGUUUAGCCUUGCAAGAGGCUAUGGAGUACCUGUGUUGAUCUUGGGAGGGGUACAGAGAGCUUGGCAGGGUUGCUGCAGUGGGAAUUAUAUCAUAUUUUGUAUUCAGGCAACCUACAGUGGCACUCCCAACAUUACUGUUCAUAGGCACACGCUCUGCUCUCCUGAUGCUCCGAGGGCAACGCAGGGCUGGAGGGGGGCAUUUUGCACAACUUCCUUAUGCCUUGGAAAAACUCUACAGGAAUACCUAUAUCAGUGAAGCCACAAAAAGGCAAACUGACGCAGUGGGGCUGUAAGUGUGCAGCAGAGGACGACCACAGUUCAAGGAGAGGCUGGGUUCUCAGAGCCAUGGUAUCUUCAGGUCUAAAGGAUCAAGAUUGAGCAGGAUUUGAUGGACUUCAGCCUCUGAUGAGGUGCUUAUGAGACUACAGAAUAGGGCCUAAAUUAGUAAUCAGGCACAAUGAGGAAUAAAGUCCUCGGAGAGAGAAGAAGAGGAAAUUUAACACUAGAAAAGGAUAAAGAACAGAAGAGAAAAUGAGAAAAGGUGAUGCAAUCUAAGAUCAAACAAAAUCUACGUGUUUCUCUUACUGCUGGUACUUCUCUUAUUUCACAGGCUUUGCUGAUCUCAUGUACUCCUCCACCAUAAAAAGCUGCUCGCAGUUACAGUGAUGUUUCUAGAAGAAGGAGAGAAUCAAACACAAAAGAUCUGCCUUGACUUUCACAGCUCUUCUAAUGCUUACAACUAAGCUUUAUUAUAUUAUUUAUUAUACACAAUGGAAAUAAUUAUUAUUACAGUCUUUCCUCUGUCAUGUGCUUUAUUACAUGACCUUGUUAUGGCCAAGGUUGCAAUCUGACAGUGUGCACUGCAUCGGUAGCGGUGACUGCUGGCAGGGAGUCCUUGGUUUGGGACUCUAAAACUGAUGGAUUAAACAGCAUUAAGGACAGUGAAGUGCUAAUACUGCGGUAAUGGACACUGUAAUAUUUCAAAAUAGCUCACAAGUAGAACCAAAACAAUCCAUUGGGCCACUCAAAUCAUGCAGGGUCUGGUUGGAAGCUCCUGGCCAUCUGACAGCUUUGGUGUAUUGCUGUAAGUCCAGAAGCACUUGCUACCUGUAGUCCAUAAUAAGUUGGUAACAAAGAGUGAUAACAGUAUGAAGUGGAAGAGAUAUUCAUCUUGGCGUAUUUCAAUCUAGAAGUGACAAUCCUGGAUUGAUUCAUUCUCUGAGGAAUAAACCUCCUCUUACAAAAAAAAAAAAAGAAAAGAAAAAACAAGUUUAAAGAAACCAGGAUUUAUCCUCAAGAUCACCACUCAUUUUCUUUUAGAAAUUACAUUCUAGACAAUAAGAGAUCACAGACCUGUAAAUUGCAUUUUAACUUUCAGGUAACAUACUAGGGCUAUAACAAAAUCUGAGGACUAUUAUCAUAGCAAAAUAACUGUAAUGCUUCAAGGCUGUAAUAACCAUCUCCUUUUUAUCAUCCAUACUACCAUCAGGCCAAGAAACAGUGAAUUUCUUUAACGUUAUUCUGCCAUAACCUUUAACUAUAUGCAUUAUUUCAAACACCUGGAAUAAUACUUUAUAUGGCACAACAGAAUAAUACAUUUGCCACUCACUGCACAGCAUAGUUGGCUAAACCCAAAUGAGUACAAAUGCUUAAAUCUGCUGUGCGUAUCGUAGAUAUACAUCUAUUCCUUCUACUGUGCUGUGGACUGACCUUUACGUGACAAGGAAGUUGAAGGAACAUUAGAAAGCAUAAGGUUUGUACUUAAAGUCAAUGAAGGCUCUUUCAGUUAUAUCAUCAUUAUAAAACUGUACUGCUUACCUGGUUUUGGGAGGGCUGUACUUGGCUAGCUCACACACACUUUAUGUGGAAUCUACAGCAUAAAUACUCUGUGGGUUCAUUGUAAAAAUAUGUUUGUGAUAUACCUUUCUGGUGUCCUUUGUGUUCUUUCGUGAAGUGUUUAUUCCUGUUAUAUCAAGUAGGUGCUAAUGCAUAAUACCAACACCAUACAUAGAGCAUCUUGAUAAAUAAUCAUGCAUAUGCUCCAGUGGUUUUCUACAUAAAUGCUCCUAUAUAUAAGUUACUACAGCCCAGGGCCCUGAAUGGAUCAAAUUUGUAAACACAUCACUAUAUUUCUUACCUCUAUUGAAGUGUAUUAUGAUAGCAGUGCUGGCAUUUAUCUAGACUGUUGAUAUAAAGGUUUCUACCCACACGAGCAAUGCAUAUUGCAUUAUGCAAUUCUGUAAUAAACUGCUUGAAAUAUUACCAGAGACAGAGCAUGCUGGAAAACAUUGAGUGAGCCCUGAGGUGGAAUGGUUCCUACUGAGUACAGAGCACUUUGGAUCAGGCCUUGGAGGAUACUACCUAUAAAAUAACACAUUUGAAGAACUUAAUUGUGAUUUCCUCAAUGUCACCCUGUCACUCUGAAAACCGGAUGCUUUAGUUCAAUGAAAGAUCUCAGCAGUGCAGUACAGCUUUUCGUCAAAGUUUAACUGCUUCAAAGAAUUUGGAAACUUCAUUUCUAUGAAGUCGGGCAUGGCCUUGAGUUGUACUAAAGGACUUCAUGUCACUGUGAGCACGUAAACACAGUGGCAAGGUUUUGGUUCUUCAGUUUGGUGGGAGCGGCUUUAUGCUUCUGUAGGAAACUUGUCCAAGAGAUCUUUGCUUCCAAAAUCUGCUUAGAGAAUCAGCCUCCACCACAGGGUGCCAGGAAGGACACCUGUGGUGUUCAGCCUGAAUGAAAAAUAACAGAGCUCCAAAGCUGUUAUAUUAUUGUUCCACAUCUCCUCUGCAGCAGCACACAGCUGGUGGUGACGCGGGAAUGAGGUCCCAGCAAAUCAAGGUUUAUUGGAAUAUUUUUCAACUGCACUAAGGAAAAGGGAUUUGGAUCUAAAGGGUACAGGCGUAGCACAAGGGGCAGCUACUCUCCUACUGGGCAAGCACAAAGUUAUUGGACCUCAGUCUAAUUUUUCUGUGAUUUCUUCUGUGACCUUUUACAAACUACACAGAGUCUGCCCAAGGAAAUCACAAAAUGAUUUCUAUUGGCUUCACUGGGUGAGAGAUUAAGGUUCUAAUUUCUCUUUGAAUCAGUGUUCUCAUUAGUAAAUUACUAGCCUCAAAGCUUAAUGUUUCCAACGCUCUUCAGUAUCCUUGAAGGGAAAUUGAUACUGGAAUGUUAACUGUCCUCAUUGCCAACAGCCAUAUAGCAUACAAAUCUAGAUUAAUAUGAGCAUUUCACUGGUGAUGACAGCACUGUAAAAUCCAUACCUAUGUUCCCACUAACCUAGAAGAACUAGACAAGAGUCAAAGAGAUUAAACGUAAUAGCUAAAGAGAAAGCUGAUUUCUCAGCAGGUGCCUUGUAUUUCCUGCAGGUUUUACUACAGUUUAAGACAGAUUUUCAUUUGCUGUCAUCAGAGCCUCUACUAAACCACGAAAUUCAUUCACAGAGUUAAUCAGCAAGUUCACUUCGCCUGGAUUUGAAAUUCCUGGAGCUGAACGUUCACUUUGUUACAGUACUUAAGGGCUUAUAAUGUCCAAACAGCAUUAUGAACUCCAAGCUCAAGGAACAGUAAAAGUUGUUCAUGCUAUCAGUGGUCAUCUUCUGUAUAAACACCUGAAAGGAAAAGGUGAAGAUUUCAGAGCACCCUUCAGUGGAGAAGAAACUAAAAGACUUAUGGGGAAGUUUCUGGUGAGCUGAGUAUUUCAAAGAAGGGCAAUUCGGAACAUUUUCCAGCACAAGAUCAUUAAAUCUGAGUGAUAUAGUGGGUUUCUUUUGUUAUCUUGGAUAUUAAUUAACAAUUAGCAGAUUGUGGAAAAUAUACGCCUAUAGUUUUUAGCCUUACUUAAGAUAAUAAUGGAAUUUAACCCAGUUAGACGUUCUAAAAGCAGCUUUUGUUAUACUGUUUUUUUUUUUGUCAUAUAAUGUUUGCAUCACAGCAAAGGUUUUAUAUUGUUUAAAUGUUAUGUGCUAGACUUACUAGAGUAUUCCAAGCUCUGUAGCUGUGGUUUUGGAUCAAAUGCUUAAAGGAGUGUCCUCAAAACCUCAAAGCAGAUGUCUUCAAACCCUGGAGUUACUGGCUGCUUUGUUGGCUGAGCAGAUGAUCCUGAAUCACAGCUGAUGAUGUUUCCCAGCUGUCAUUCCCGAAGGACCCAAUGUGAUGGAUGUUAUGGACCUCAUGCAGAACACAGUCCCUUGUGUCCUUCCCACCCAGAAGGUCAUUAAUUGCAUUGCUGAGCUGGGAAGAGGCAGGCUGAGGCUGAAUCCUGUGACCUGGUUUGGGAAGGGCUGGGUUCCUCCCUCUGAAUGUCCUCCCUGGACUUGGCCAUCAGUUGUGCAGCAGUAAGGACUACUCAGCGUUUCUUUUGAAGCUGUUCAGCUUGUAUAAAUUCAACUGCCACGAUGUCUCCAUAAACUCAUUGGUCUACAGCUUAGAAAGCAGCUGCUUUCCUUUCCCAGUGUGUGUGCUUUAACCUGUAGUCACCAUAACCACACUUACCACAGAGCACUGAAUCAUUCCUUGCACCUGUACUCUUGGAAAACACAAUCUAUAUAUAGCUAUUGUGGAAUCUACUGUUUGGAAUAAAUACCUGUCUCCCUUAUCCCACACUGUGCUUCAAAACAACCUCAUUUUGCCAUCACCAAUUAAAACCCCAUCCUUGCUCUAUCUCACAUAUGGUCAUUCAUACCCACCCUUUCAAACUAUCUACACAAUUCCAGUACACUCUUCUUAGCCCUCUAUGCAUACAAUUAACCCAGUCUUUGACUCACGAGUUAUCCAAAAUCCCCCAGUGGUAGAUUCAAUUUUAUACUGGGUGAAUGGGUGACUGGUGCUAUGCAUAAACUUUGUGAUAAAUGACUUCAUCCCUUUAUUAGUGAUAAUUAGAAUGGUAAUUAUUAGACUGUGACAGAUGGUGCAGAUAUUUUGGAAGACUUCGAUGUCAAGAAUCUAGGCAGCAGAUAAACAAUAUUUUAAAAAUAUCAGUGAUAUCUAAAUUGAAAAUUUAAAUUGUGUGGAAGUCAGAACAGGCUUCAAAACCUAGGGGGCAAAAUUUGAGCAUGUGAGGUAGAUAUAGAUAUACAAGCCUAGAAAGAUUAACAGUCUGUCUGGUAUGGUCAUGCUGCUGUCAUUAUUGGGAUUAGAGGCACCUACCUGUCUAUAUGGCUAUUUUAUUUUCCCUUGGUCAAAAAACACCUUGGGGCACAAUCUUGAGCUGACAGUGCUGUUCUCAGGAGAAACAAGCGGAUGCUUCAGUAGAUCUUUCUCUUUUACACUGGCAUAACACAAUAUAAAUCAUAGCCCUUCUUUCUUCCUAGCAUUUCGUAGUACCAUCAGUAAUGGAAUAUUAUUAUUUUCAACAACCAUUCAUGUACUGCCUGCACUGUCUGAAUGUCCCAGCUGGAACUGCAUAGGUUAAGGCCUCAAAUCAAUCCUUCCUGCUAACAGCCUGGGGAGCAGGCAAGUGAGUUUCUCGCAGAAGGAGAAUUCUGACUAUCUAAAAGUAUAAAAAGGGUACAGACCUGACAAGUUUCAUUUAUUCCAUUCCUCACAUUUCUGAUUUUGCCUGUUCUGCACGUCAGGCAAUUAUUUUAGCACUAAAUGCAACGGUGCACAUGCACAUACACUCAUACCUUGUACAAGAAGUUUCUUCAUAAAUAUCUCAGCCACGUGAGCCCAUCAAUAGUUCUCUGCGAGAGGGGUGAAGGUGUGUAUCCACUAGCAUUUCUUGGCAAUGAGUCCUUAUAGCUUCAUCCCUGUGAGAAUAGAAUGUGCCUUUUCAGUAGAUUAAAAAAGAAACCUCCAUCUUUGCUGCAGAGUAUCACUUGACACGCUUGUUGAUUUACUCAACUUAUUUUUCAUUCCAUAAUUCUUCCAGGCUGUGUUCAAAUGAUCUCACCCUACAUUUGUUUGAUGAAGGUUACCAAUCUGGAAAAUCCAUCUACUUCCACCUUCAUUAUUAUGACUGAUAUCUCUGCUGCUCUGUUUACUUGCCUUUAAUUUACUCCAAGGCUAACACUUGUUUUUGGCUGCAUCCACAAGGGAUCCAGUGAUAACUUUCCCCCGUCCCCACCUAGGCAGUGAGAACCUCUGCAAGACAACAAAUCCUUGGCUUUGCAAUAGUGUAAUGUUCUCAUCAGUGUAACAUUCUCAUCAGUGGCAUCAAGAACUGUAGAAAUACUGAGUGGUGUGGUCAGGACAACCCUAACUGACUCUCAGCGGUCACUGAUUUCAGCCACAGCCUGAGAAGUUGAGCAGGAGAACCAUUUCAUAUUGGUGCAACGUUAUGAAUAUGAGCAACUGCUCAGCUUUAGUGCUCAUUACCCCAGCAACAGUUCUGGAUUAAUUUCUAGUCCCAUGGGCCAGCAGGCAACGUGGGCAGAGCAGAAUCAUCCCUUAGUAUUUUAAAAGCCAUCUAUUUAAAAAGUGUUUUAUGUCGAAUUAAAGCUCAUCCAAACUAUUCAACCUGGCCAUAUUUCUUCACCAUUAGCGUUGUAUGCGUCAUCUGUUGUUUCAUCACCUGUUAAUCUGCCUGGGCUCUAGCUGUAGAUUUGAUUUAUAAAGAUGCCUAUAUCUUACUCGUUUGCUACAUGCGACCAAUACAACCCCAAUCACUGUCUGCCUUCUCAUGGAACACCCACCUAUUAGUUUAAAUUCUGAGAGACGGGAAAUAAGAAAAAUAAAUAAUUCCCACAACUGUCAUUCACACGUUUCUACCCUUUUAUCAUGACACAACAGGACAUUGUUCAAGUACAUAUUUUGAUUUACAAUUCUUCACCGCCCCCAUUCAUCGCUAUCAAAAAUGAAUUUUUAACCAUGUGUAUAUAAACCUGAUGAUUUGUAUUCAUAAUCAGCUAAGGUUAUAAGGAAUCUCCUGCUGUGGUUAGCUAAGGUAAAGCACACUAAAGCAAAAUUGCUUUACUCACAACCUGUAAUAAUUUCAGAAUGUUAUUUCUAUUUCUUGCAAUGUUCUUGGUAACAUUAGUCAGAUAAAUGAUGCCUUUUGAUCAACAGGAAUGCUCCUUUCUCCAAACAUCAGCUUUGCACUGUAAACACCAAUUCCAAUAGGGUUUGGUGGUUUUUUUUGUUGUUGUUGCUUGGUUUUUUUAUUUUUAUUUUUUUACUUUCUUAUCUUUGUGCUUGGAUAUAUAUUUGCUCUUCAGUUCUCUUGCUAUGUUCCAAUAUGCUAGCAAUAUCUUUCCCUUUGCUGCCUCAUUUAACCUAUGUAAUAAAGAUGCCUGUCAUGUCAUAAAGUAAGCAUUUUCCCUAGAAAUUUCUAUAAAAGUUCAUGUCAAACUGGAUAUUUCUAUUGAUUUUUGAAUAGAUAUUAGCAGGUUUUCUUCUGCCUUAUUUUUAAGAAUUGACUCUUAGACCUUCAAAUUUCUUGAAAGAAAUAUUGCUGUAAGUUGCAAUGACCCAAUGUAAUCCUGACCUGCUCUUUUUCUUCUUUUAUCCCUCAGUGCUCCAGUAUCCUAGCAGUUUUUCCUAUGCUUCUUACAAUUAGUCC
rnacentral:lncRNA from 1 species